rnacentral:rRNA from 1 species
GCCACAGCCAGAUCACCCUGCAGCCCGAGAGCGGUUACUCACUCACUGAAGCUGAGCAGGGCUGAGGCUGGUCAGUGUCUGGAUGUGAGAGCACAUGGGAACACUAGGCUGCUGUUGGCA